rnacentral:rRNA from 1 species
UCAGCACUAAGCCAUUUUGUCUUUAUGGCAAAUAUGGGAUGCAGUGUAUGGAACACCUAUAAUCUAGUAUGAGAAAUUAACGAUUUAAGUCCUUCUUAAAUGAGGCCAUUUACCCAUAGAGGGUGCCAGGCCCGUAUAACGUUAAUGAUUACUAGAAGAUGUUUCCAAAGAGUCGUGUUGCUUGAUAGUGCAGCACUAAGUGGGUGGUAAACUCCAUCUAAAACUAAAUAUAACCAUGAGACCGAUAGUAAACAAGUACCGUGAGGGAAAGUUGAAAAGAACUCUGAAUAGAGAGUUAAACAGUACGUGAAACUGCUUAGAGGUUAAACCCGAUGAACCUGAAUAUCCAUUAUGAAAAAUUCAUCACUAAUAAAAUAGUGUGCAAUUUUUUCAUAUAAGGACAUUGUAAUCUGAUAAUGUCAUAAAUAUUUAUCAAAAGAUCUUAUACUUAAGUUUAUUCAAAUUUAACAUAAAAUAAAUGUAUUUGAUUGGAUAAAUCAUUGUCAGAUAUAAUUAUAUAAUGUGCUUAAAUUCCUCGGAAUUUUAUAAUAUUAUAUGCACUAUUAUGAUUAACAAUGCGAUAGAUUCAGGAUACCUUCGGGACCCGUCUUGAAACACGGACCAAGGAGUCUAACAUAUGUGCAAGUCAUUGGGUAUUUUUAAUAAAACCCAAUGGCAUAAUUAACUUAACUGUUGGGAUUAGUUUAAAUAAAUUCAAUCCCGGGGCGUUCUAUACAGUUAUGCGUAAUGAUAUUUAUAUUAUUUAUGCCUCUAACUAGAGCGUACCUUGAGCAAAUAUGCUGUGACCCGAAAGAUGGUGAACUAUACUUGAUCAGGUUGAAGUCAGGGGAAACCCUGAUGGAAGACCGAAACAGUUCUGACGUGCAAAUCGAUUGUCAGAAUUGAGUAUAGGGGCGAAAGACUAAUCGAACCAU